GAAAGUAAUUGCUGUUUCUGCCAUUGCUUUCGGUGGCAAAAACUGCAGUUACUUUUGC
rnacentral:miRNA from 1 species